CUGGUGUUGCCAGAAAGAGGUGGGACGAACUGCUGGAGUAUGUCGCAUUGGAACUGAUGAAGCAUUUCUCUUUCACUGUGGGGGAGCUGUGUUGAACAGCAGAGCCAGAAAACAUCCUCGAGCCCAACAGUCAUAAACAGGAUUGAUGUCUGCGACCAAGACGUUUGACUUUAUCCAGCCAAGCUUGAGAAAGAUCAUUUGGCAUCAUUGGGGCUGUACAGGAGGUUUGAUGAAAUUGUAUUUCCCUUA